CUUACAAGUUAAGGACAUGUCGGCAUACACGCUCAGAAGGUUACUUCUG
rnacentral:sRNA from 1 species